GGCCAGACUCCUACGGGAGGCAGCAGUGAGGAAUAUUGGUCAAUGGGCGAGAGCCUGAACCAGCCAAGUCGCGUGAGGGAAGACGGUCCUAUGGAUUGUAAACCUCUUUUGCCGGGGAGCAAAAAGCGGUACGUGUACCGCAUCGAGAGUGCCCGGAGAAAAAGCAUCGGCUAACUCCGUGCCAGCAGCCGCGGUAAUACGGAGGAUGCGAGCGUUAUCCGGAUUUAUUGGGUUUAAAGGGUGCGCAGGCGGCGAGUUAAGUCGGGGGUAAAAUUCGGGGGCCCACCCCCGACAAGCCGUUGAAACUGGCUUGCUAGAGUGGGCGAGAAGUAUGCGGAAUGCGUGGUGUAGCGGUGAAAUGCAUAGAUAUCACGCAGAACUCCGAUCGCGAAGGCAGCGUACCGGCUCCACACUGACGCUGAGGCACGAAAGCGUGGGUAUCGAACAGGAUUAGAUACCCCAGUAC
rnacentral:rRNA from 1 species